rnacentral:rRNA from 1 species
UCAGUCAGCGCAGCGUAAUAACAGAAACUAACCAGGAUUCCCUUAGUAACGGCGAGUGAACUGGGAUACCAAUAUAUUUAUGCGUCUCUGGCGCAUAUUUUUAGCCCGUCGAUACUAUCCUAGCGUAUUACCGGUUUCGGCCGGUAGCCCAAUACGCGGGAAUUGUAGCAUCGUAAUAAAAUAUACACCAUGCCUGCGUCGCAAACGUAUAUACACGUAUACUCACACACACAUACAUCGUACGCGUACACACCCCUUGCAAACACACAGCGCUCCCGCGUUGGAAAGCAAGUCUAUAUCCUCUUUGGAUAUGCCAUAGAGUGUGACAGCCACGUUUGAAACGCCCUACGUACCGUACACACACAUACGUAAAAAUACGCGCUGCUUCGCAUACGCAUACCGUAUAUAACCUGAGUCGAGUUAUUUGGGACUAUAGCUCUAAUAGUUUGGUUGGUGGUAAUGACACAUCAAAGGCUAAAUAUUGGUUAGUCGAUGCAUUUUACGGAGACCGAUAGCAUACAAGUACCGUAAGGGAACGAUGAAAAGCACCCUAUUAAGUUCACGGUGUCGGCCGCGUACAAUUCGUUGCACAACGCCGCGCCCAACAACUACAGUGGGAGUGAAAGAGAGAGU